rnacentral:rRNA from 1 species
UACGUAGGUGGCAAGCGUUGUCCGGAUUUACUGGGCGUAAAGGGCGCGUAGGCGGCCCGCUAAGUCGGACGUGAAAUCCCCGGGCUCAACCCGGGAACUGCGUCCGAUACUGGUGGGCUCGAAUCCGGGAGAGGGAUGCGGAAUUCCAGGUGUAGCGGUGAAAUGCGUAGAUAUCUGGAGGAACACCGGUGGCGAAGGCGGCAUCCUGGACCGGUAUUGACGCUGAGGCGCGAAAGCCAGGGGAGCAAACGGG